GGGGGUAUAGCUCAGUGGUAGAGUGGAGGUUAGCACGCAUGAGGUCCUGGGUUCAAUCCCCAGUACCUCCA
rnacentral:tRNA from 1 species